rnacentral:rRNA from 1 species
CGUGUAGGCGGCUCAUCAAGUCUGGUGUGAAAACGCAAGGCUUAACCUUGCGUAUGCGCUGGGAACUGGUGGGCUUGAGUUCCUGAGGGGAAGCUGGAAUUCCAGGUGUAGGGGUGAAAUCUGUAGAUAUCUGGAAGAACACCGGUGGCGAAGGCGAGCUUCUAUCAGAGGACUGACGCUGAGGCGCGAAAGCGUGGGGAGCAAACAGGAUUAGAUACCCUGGUAGUCCACGCUGUAAACGAUGUGCACUAGGCGUGGGGCCCGUACGGGUUCUGUGCCGUAGUUAACGUGUUAAGUGCACCGCCUGGGGAGUAUGCUCGCAAGGGUGAA